rnacentral:rRNA from 1 species
GGUAAAACCAGCACCUCAAGUGGUCAGGAUGAUUAUUGGGCCUAAAGCAUCCGUAGCCGGCUCUGUAAGUUUUCGGUUAAAUCUGUACGCUCAACGUACAGGCUGCCGGGAAUACUGCAGAGCUAGGGAGUGGGAGAGGUAGACGGUACUCGGUAGGAAGGGGUAAAAUCCUUUGAUCUAUUGAUGACCACCUGUGGCGAAGGCGGUCUACCAGAACACGUCCGACGGUGAGGGAUGAAAGCUGGGGGAGCAAACCGGAUUAGAUACCCGGGUAGUCCCAGCUGUAAACUAUGCAAACUCAGUGAUGCAUUGGCUUGUGGCCAAUGCAGUGCUGCAGGGAAGCCGUUAAGUUUGCCGCCUGGGAAGUACGUACGCAAGUAUGAAACUUAAAGGAAUUGGC